rnacentral:lncRNA from 1 species
GAGGAAGACUUACUAGAGCAUCACUCCAUCCAAACAUCAAACAUCCAGCCAUUCUUCCAAAGGGACAUCACGUAUCACAUCUACUCAUAAAGCACUUCCACGAGAAGAUUCGUCAUCAGGGAAGAGGGAUGACAGUCAAUGAAAUACGCGCUAAUGGUAUUUGGAUCAUUAGCUGCAGUCGUGAAGUGUCAUCAUUUAUAUACAAGUGUGUCAAGUGCAGAAAAUACAGACAAAACUCUCAGGAGCAGAAGAUGUCCGACCUGCCGUCAGAGAGAAUGGAAGCUACUCCUCCUUUUUCAUACAGCGGAAUGGAUUGCUUUGGACCGUUCUAUGUAAAGGAAGGAAGGAAGGAGAUGAAAAGGUACGGACUUCUGUUUACAUGCAUGUGCUCCAGAGCUAUUCAUAUCGAAGUCCUGGACGAUCUCAGUACGGAUUGCUUCCUCAAUGCACUACGUUGCUUCAUUUCUAUAAGAGGCCAUGUCAGUCAACUCCAUUGUGAUCAAGGCACUAACUUCAUUGGUGCAAAGAAUGAGUUCCUGAGCUUAACGCAAGCCUCCAAAGAGAAGGCAAAAGAGUUGGGUAUAAGUUUCAUCUUUAACCCACCUGCUUCCAGUCACAUGGGAGGUGUCUGGGAGAGGCAGAUUCGAACAAUAAGAAAUGUUUUGAGUUCUAUUCUUGAUCAGUCAGCUUCAAGACUGGAUACAUCAUCAAUGAGAACAUUCAUGUAUGAGACUAUGUCUAUCGUGAAUAGUCGACCACUAACUGUGGAGUGCCUCAACGACCCUGUUGGACCAGAGCCGCUGACACCAAAUCACAUCUUGACAAUGAAAUCCACAAUAAUCUCACCACCACCUGGAGAAUUUGUGAAAGAGGAUCUCUACUUGCAGAAAAGAUGGAAAAGAGUGCAGUAUCUGGCAAAUGUAUUCUGGACCAGAUGGAGAAAGGAAUAUUUGCUAAAUCUGCAACAGAGAAGAAAGUGGAAGACGAACAGAAGAAAUGCAAGAGUAAAUGACAUCGUUCUACUACAAGAUGAGUGUGUUCCAAGAAACCAGUGGAAGCUCGCCAGAGUCAUUGAAGUCACACCAGGAGCUGACGGCAACGUCAGAAAGGUCAAGCUUCUUCUUGGUGAUUCAACUGAAGAGAAAGGAGGAACGUGUAACACCAGGACUGUUUUGGAAAGACCAAUCCAUAAGACUAUUCUGUUAGUUGAGGCUGAGUAGUGUUUGUUCAUGUUUAUUUACAAUGUUAGCUUAUGUUUGGGAUCACACAUACUGCUAGUAGUGUGAUGGUGGGAGUGUAACGGUUGAUAAGUGCAGUUCACUAUUUCGUCAGCAGAGGGCGCUAGUGUGCUGUUAAUAAUUAUUUUCGUUUAUUUUUUGUACGUUUAUAUAUUUAUUUUUCUAGUAUUUAAAAG